AGGUGAGACUACCCGCUGAACUUAAGCAUAUCACUAAGCGGAGGAAAAGAAACUAACCAGGAUUCCCCUAGUAACGGCGAGUGAACCGGGAAGAGCUCAAGCUGAAAAUCUUCGGAAUUGUGGUCUAUAGGUGCGGACUCGCGCAGCCCCAGGUAUAAAUCCGUUCUUGGAAUUGGGUGCCAGAGAGGGUUAGAGCCCCGUCUUUGACUUGGGUAGCUGUGCGUGGCGAGUCUUUACCGGAGAGUCGGCUUGCUUGGGAAUGCAGGCCAAAAUGGGUGGUAAACUUCAUCUAAAGCUAAAUAUUGGCGAGAGACCGAUAGCGAACAAGUACUGUGAAGGAAAGAUGGAAAGAACUUUGAAAAGAGAGUGAAAAAGGGCUUGAAAUUGUUAAGAGGAGAAGUGAUUGGAGCAUAUCAUACGGCGUGGGGUUCCAGGGACGGGACUUGUCUUGUCUUGCACCAUCCCGCGCUGUUGGUCAGCAUCGGUUCUGUGUGGGGGAGAAAACCCUUUGCGUUGAUGGCUUCGGCUUGAUCGUUUUGGGCGAAACCUUGGACGGGACCGAGGCAGCAAGUCUACGCUUGGCGGCCGGCCCCCUGCCCGUUUUGGGGCGCGUUGUACACCCUUUUGGCGUCUGCGGCGCGUGUUGGAACGAUGCGGGGGAGCGCUGGACCUGUAGACUCGAGAUGUUGGCACAAUGGCUUCAAUCAGCCCGUCUGGAAACACGGACCAAGGAGUCUAUCUCGUAUG
rnacentral:rRNA from 14 species